AUGCCUGGGGGCUGUGUGAUUCCAGAAGUCAGGCUCACUUGCUUUAGAAACCAAUUCUGUCAGAGAUGGUGUGAACCCAAGAAGUAGGAAGGCGGUUUUGUCUUUUUCUGGUAGCUGACAGACUCAUCCCUUCCUGCUCCUCCUCCUCCUUUGUCUUUCUCUCUUCUACUGUAUGAAAGGCACCAGGGAGGCACUCAGGUGGUUUUCCUGGGGGACCCAGUGGUGGAUCAGUCCCAGAUCCAUCUUUGGGGCUCAGAAGGCCAGGAGGAGAACCAGGUAGACCAGACUGGGCUGCAGCCAGCUCGGAAAAUUUGCUUCACCCUCCUUCCACCAUGACAUGGGCAUAUGAUUGUGCCUUCUCAGCCAGAGUUUCAAGGGACCCUGCUGGAGAUCACAGAGUCAAGGGCAGCUGUGACACCUGGCCUGACGCCUUUGCAGCUGCCAUCUCUGCGUCUUCUCAAA
rnacentral:lncRNA from 1 species